rnacentral:rRNA from 1 species
GACGAAGGAUGCAAGCGUUAUCCGGAUUCAUGGGGUUUAAGGGGUGCGUAGGCGGAUUGGAAAGUCAGGGGUGAAAUCUCCGGGCUUAACUCGGAAACUGCCAUUGAUACUGCAGAUCUUGAGUACAGAUGAUGUUGGCGGAAUAUGACAUGUAGCGGUGAAAUGCAUAGAUAUGUCAUAGAACACCGAUUGCGAAGGCAGCUGACAAAACUGUAACUGACGCUGAGGCACGAAAGUGCGGGGAUCAAACAGG